GUUAUGAUCAAAUUCUAGUUUUAUCAUAUACAUCACAACAUUACUAUAGAAGUGUUCCACCAAGCCAUGGUGGAUGUGAAUGAGGAGGGCACUGAAGCAGCCGCUGGCACAGGAGGUGUUAUGACAGGGAGAACUGGUCAUGGAGGCCCACAGUUUGUGGCAGAUCAUCCUUUUCUUUUCCUUAUUAUGCAUAAAAUAACCAAGUGCAUUUUAUUUUUUGGCAGAUUUUCCUCACCCUAAAACUAAGCAUGCUGCUUCUGCAAAAGAUUUUUGUAGAUGAGCUGUGUGCCUCAGAAUUGCUAUUUCAAACUGCCAAAAAUUUAGAGAUGUUUUCUACAUAUUUCUGUUCUUCUGAACAACU
rnacentral:lncRNA from 1 species